CCUACGGGCGGCAGCAGUGGGGGAUAUUGCACAAUGGGGGAAACCCUGAUGCAGCGACGCCGCGUGAGUGAAGACGUAUUUCGGUAUUUAAAGCUCUAUCUGCAGGGAAGAAAAUGACAUUACCUGACCAAGAAGCCCCGGCUAACUACGUGCCAGCAGCCGCGGUAAUACGUAGGGGGCAAGCGUUAUCCGGAUUUACUGGGUGUAAAGGGAGCGUAGACGGCAGUGCAAGUCUGGGGUGAAAGGCGGGGGCUCAACCCCCGGACUGCUCUGGAAACUGUACGGCUGGAGUGCAGGAGAGGCAAGUGGAAUUCGUAGUGUAGCGGUGAAAUGCGUAGAUAUUAGGAGGAACACCAGUGGCGAAGGCGGCUUACUGGACUGUAACUGACGUUGAGGCUCGAAAGCGUGGGGAGCGAACAGGAUUAGAUACCCUUGUAGUC
rnacentral:rRNA from 1 species